rfam:Nitrospirae bacterium RBG_16_43_11 RBG_16_scaffold_25683, whole genome shotgun sequence.
UAAACCUUUAAUUUAGCCCUGAGAGGCUAAGAAGGAUUAAUAAUGAAAAUAUCAAUCGGGAAUAACAAACCUUCUCACAUGCAAUCAUAGUGAGGGGGUUUUUUUUUG